ensembl:lncRNA
UUCGUAUUGUCUAUGGUGGGCUGGGUGGAAAAAUAGUCAGGCGGAGGAGGAGAAACAUCAAACAGGUGCACUGGAGAACACUGUCUGCCGGAAAUUGCUUUAUAGCCAGCCAAUCAGAAUGGGAUGGCCAAUUUUUGGAUGCUGAGACUAGUUACAACAUACUAAAGAGCUAAAGGAAUCAACAGGGAACGAUCUGAUGACCGUUGGGAAUUUUUUAUUCAGAUAGAACAUGAUGUUGCUUUAGAACAUCAGUCUAUUCAAAGGC